CACCUACGGCCGCGGUCGCUGUUGGCAGCACCUUCGCCCGUCUUCGCCUACGCUGCCGCCGCCUCUGGUGGCCAUCGGCCCCUCCGCCCCACCCACGGAAGUGACAGUGACUCCAUAUAUUUUGGCAGCUGAAAUGGUCGAGAAGUUUGAGUCAGGGACUAGAGAUUUGGGCAGCCACUACAGCAGAUCAAUGUCUAAUGAGGAUGCAACAACUGCCUCACAGAGAAGGCCCAAACUUAUGCUAACAAGGCCAAAGGAACCUGAGUUUCAGACUACCCACAGGGUCCGAGCAGUCAGAAUGAAAAGCUCUUCAGAACUAGAGGAGGAAAUGCUGGCCAAGAUCCCAAAGUUCAGAGCAUGGCCAUUUAAC